AAAUUGAAGAGUUUGAUCAUGGCUCAGAUUGAACGCUGGCGGCAGGCCUAACACAUGCAAGUCGAACGGUAACAGGAAGCAGCUUGCUGCUUUGCUGACGAGUGGCGGACGGGUGAGUAAUGUCUGGGAAACUGCCUGAUGGAGGGGGAUAACUACUGGAAACGGUGGCUAAUACCGCAUAACGUCGCAAGACCAAAGAGGGGGACCUUCGGGCCUCUUGCCAUCAGAUGUGCCCAGAUGGGAUUAGCUUGUUGGUGAGGUAACGGCUCACCAAGGCGACGAUCCCUAGCUGGUCUGAGAGGAUGACCAGCCACACUGGAACUGAGACACGGUCCAGACUCCUACGGGAGGCAGCAGUGGGGAAUAUUGCACAAUGGGCGCAAGCCUGAUGCAGCCAUGCCGCGUGUAUGAAGAAGGCCUUCGGGUUGUAAAGUACUUUCAGCGGGGAGGAAGGUGUUGCGGUUAAUAACCGCAGCAAUUGACGUUACCCGCAGAAGAAGCACCGGCUAACUCCGUGCCAGCAGCCGCGGUAAUACGGAGGGUGCAAGCGUUAAUCGGAAUUACUGGGCGUAAAGCGCACGCAGGCGGUCUGUCAAGUCGGAUGUGAAAUCCCCGGGCUCAACCUGGGAACUGCAUUCGAAACUGGCAGGCUUGAGUCUUGUAGAGGGGGGUAGAAUUCCAGGUGUAGCGGUGAAAUGCGUAGAGAUCUGGAGGAAUACCGGUGGCGAAGGCGGCCCCCUGGACAAAGACUGACGCUCAGGUGCGAAAGCGUGGGGAGCAAACAGGAUUAGAUACCCUGGUAGUCCACGCCGUAAACGAUGUCUACUUGGAGGUUGUGCCCUUGAGGCGUGGCUUCCGGAGCUAACGCGUUAAGUAGACCGCCUGGGGAGUACGGCCGCAAGGUUAAAACUCAAAUGAAUUGACGGGGGCCCGCACAAGCGGUGGAGCAUGUGGUUUAAUUCGAUGCAACGCGAAGAACCUUACCUGGUCUUGACAUCCACAGAACUUUCCAGAGAUGGAUUGGUGCCUUCGGGAACUGUGAGACAGGUGCUGCAUGGCUGUCGUCAGCUCGUGUUGUGAAAUGUUGGGUUAAGUCCCGCAACGAGCGCAACCCUUAUCCUUUGUUGCCAGCGAUUAGGUCGGGAACUCAAAGGAGACUGCCAGUGAUAAACUGGAGGAAGGUGGGGAUGACGUCAAGUCAUCAUGGCCCUUACGACCAGGGCUACACACGUGCUACAAUGGCGCAUACAAAGAGAAGCGACCUCGCGAGAGCAAGCGGACCUCAUAAAGUGCGUCGUAGUCCGGAUUGGAGUCUGCAACUCGACUCCAUGAAGUCGGAAUCGCUAGUAAUCGUGGAUCAGAAUGCCACGGUGAAUACGUUCCCGGGCCUUGUACACACCGCCCGUCACACCAUGGGAGUGGGUUGCAAAAGAAGUAGGUAGCUUAACCUUCGGGAGGGCGCUUACCACUUUGUGAUUCAUGACUGGGGUGAAGUCGUAACAAGGUAACCGUAGGGGAACCUGCGGUUGGAUCACCUCCUUA
rnacentral:rRNA from 11 species